AGUCGUAACAAGGUUUCCGUAGGUGAACCUGCGGAAGGAUCAUUAACAAGGAGGGUGAGUGGGUUUGGGGGGUAGUGGUUGGGUGAGAGUGGUUGGGAGUUUAGGUGUAGUGGUGUGUGUAGUGUGUAGGAAGGCACGUGAGGUGCAAGAAGCACGCAGCACGCAUGUUACACUACACGCAUGCCACGGACCCAGCCGGUACCGCCACCACACAUUGUAGCGCGGUAGACCCGGAAGGGGCGACCGAUGCGAUAUUAGAGCGUGAUGGCAUGUGUGUAUAUUGUAUAUUGUAUAUUGUAUGGUAUGUAUGUAUAUUGUAUAUUGUAUGGUAUUUACUACAUGUAAUAUUGUAUGUAUUGUCGAUUCAGGGAUGGAAAUAAAGAAAACUUUUAACAAUGGAUCUCUAGGCUCUU
rnacentral:misc_RNA from 1 species